CCUACGGGAGGCAGCAGUGAGGAAUAUUGGUCAAUGGGCGAGAGCCUGAACCAGCCAAGUCGCGUGAGGGAGUACUGCCCUAUGGGUUGUAAACCUCUUUUGUCGGGGAGCAAAAGCCGGACGUGUCCGGCUGUGAGAGUACCCGAAGAAAAAGCAUCGGCUAACUCCGUGCCAGCAGCCGCGGUAAUACGGAGGAUGCGAGCGUUAUCCGGAUUUAUUGGGUUUAAAGGGUGCGCAGGCGGAUUUUUAAGUCAGCGGUAAAAUCGUGGGGCUCAACCCCAUCCAGCCGUUGAAACUGGGGAUCUAGAGUGUGCGAGAAGUACGCGGAAUGCGCGGUGUAGCGGUGAAAUGCAUAGAUAUCGCGCAGAACUCCGAUUGCGAAGGCAGCGUACCGGCGCCAGACUGACGCUGAGGCACGAAAGCGUGGGGAUCGAACAGGAUUAGAUACCCGUGUAGUC
rnacentral:rRNA from 1 species